AGUGUUCAAUAGAACUGUGGUAGGUGAGUAAUGUCCCCUACUAGAAAGGAGAGGGCAAGGCUGGUGCCAGCCGCCGCGGUAAAACCAGCUCUUCAAGUGGUCGGGAUAAUUAUUGGGCUUAAAGUGUCCGUAGCCGGUUUAGUAAGUUCCUGGUAAAAUCGGGUAGCUUAACUAUCUGCAUGCUAGGAAUACUGCUAUACUAGAGGGCGGGAGAGGUCUGAGGUACUACAGGGGUAGGGGUGAAAUCUUAUAAUCCUUGUAGGACCACCAGUGGCGAAGGCGUCAGACUGGAACGCGCCUGACGGUGAGGGACGAAAGCCAGGGGAGCGAACCGGAUUAGAUACCCGGGUAGUCCUGGCCGUAAACGAUGCAUACUAGGUGAUGGUACGGCCAUGAGCCGUAUCAGUGCCGUAGGGAAACCGUUAAG
rnacentral:rRNA from 1 species